rnacentral:snoRNA from 1 species
GGAUUGAUGAUGACUCCCAUUUUUUUUAUGGAAAGCUGAACAAAAUGAUUGAAAACUCUAGACCAUUAUCUUAACUGAACUUAGGUCC